AUUGAGGCCUGUGUCUACUCCUAUUCUUCACUUGAAGAGGAAGAGAUAUGCCAGUACUAUGGCAGUUCCGGCUCUGAUCAUCCCACUGAACCACAUCCAGACAUUGACAUGUUCUGCUCCUGACCCAUGCUCACCUGUUCCUGGAUAACUUUAUACACUGCCAAUAUGUUUGCAAUUGCUGCUCUGCUACUUGAGGUGUCUGCAUAAGCCUCUGGAAUCAGUUCAAUUGCCCAGGGGGUUUGAACAAAGGAUCCAAUUCCGGAAAGUUGUAUUCCUGCUCGUAAUGCUGGGGCCCCACAAGUAUGUGUGCUCAGCCCCCUCUUGAACUCCCUGUUCAACCAUGACUGCGUGGCCAAGCACACCUCCAACUCAAUUAUCAAGUUUGCAGAUGACACAACGGUAGUAGGCCUGAUUACCAACAAUGACGAGACAUGCGCAAUAGCGCCUCUUCAACCUCAGGAGGCUGAAGAAAUUCAGCUUGGCCCCUAAGACCCUCACAAACUUUUACAGAUGCACCAUGAAGAGCAACCUGUCAGGCUGUAUCACUGUCUGAUACGGCAACUGCACCACCCGCAACCGCAGGGCUCUCCAGAGGGUGGUGUCGUCUGCCCAACGCAUCACCGGGGGCACACUGCCUGCUCUCCAGGACACCUACAGCACCCAAUGUCACAGGAAGGACAAAAAGAUCAUCAAGGACAUCAACCACCCGAGACACGGCCUGUUCACCCCGCUAUCAUCCAGAAGUUAUGUCAUAUCUCUGCCUUUGCACAACUGUCAUCUAGGGAUCUUCAUCAUGAUGCUCUUUGAGCUCCUGGUAGCUAUUUAACUUGGACACUAUUUCAGGGGUAACUAUGGCAGUGGGCUGGUGUGGCUGUGCUUGCUACUGGGUCCUUCUCUGGCUAUGAUUAUCUAUUUCCACGACCACUACAUGAGUCACCAUGGCCAACAUCCUCCUGGACUGUCCGCUGCUGACUGUUUGUCAUGAUCACUCACUUAUACUGACUUUGGAUAGGCUCCAGCACUUUUUGAUAUCUUUGAAUGACUACUGUCCAGUUUAGCAUUCGUCCAUUUGUAGGAAGUCAUCACAGCCUUAAUUUUUAUUUUUUAUUUUAGUUGAAAGACCAACAAAAUCUACAGAACAGCUAUUCACAAUUAUUUUUUAUUUGAAUCUUUGGAGCCUGUGUCCUGUCAUAUUGUGACUCAAUCACACAUGAAAGAUAGGGCUGCUUAUUCACUGUUCACAAGUCACCCAACGUUUACUGUAGGUUUAUGGAUCAUAGCCAACUGUUUUCAGACUACUGGUAUCUAACUGCCUGGUGAAAACUAUUGGGAAACCACACCAUGUUGAGUUCAAGCACAGAAUGAAUUAUACAGUGUAGCUUCCAAUUGAAUCGUGCUGUUAAUUCUUUACUGGGCAACCACACCAUGUUGAAUUCACACACAGUGUGAACGGAGUGAAAUACAGUAUAUAGCUGAAUUGUACUUGAUACUUUGGCAAGCUUAUAAAGCUAUAAGAAAUAUGAUAGUUGUGGUGUGCUUGCCCUCUUACCGAGAUUUCAUAAACUGUCAGGACUUUCUAGGAAGAUAAUUUCUAUUGUAUUUAUAUAUUGUUUUGACUUUAUUUCAGAUAGUUUGUGUAUUUGUGAUUAUCUUUCCAG
rnacentral:lncRNA from 1 species